UUUUUUAAAGUCUUGACUAGGCUAUAGGUGUUUCUACAUUUUGAAUUAGAAAGGUUGGCAAUCAGAAAAAUUUUCUAGUCAACUAUGCACUUGAUUCUUUGUCUGCAGGUCUCCAGUGCAGCAUCACGGCAGAAGGAAGGAGUUCAUCGUCUAUGCUUGUUGGCACCUCUGCCCCCACGAAUCAGCCGGUCCCUGGCCCAAUGAAUCUACCACAGUACACUGGAAUGAAUCCCAGUAAUAGAACUUCCUCCCCGGUAUCACAGUUUAGUGGAGUGCAACCACAGCUUGAGAAUCAAUAUAAACAUCUUCGGAGAGAAUCACCAGCCAUCAUAGCCUAUACGCCACAAACACCAGCUUCUGGUAACCUGAGUAGGAGUUCUCUGGCUACACUGUAUGGACCGGGUGUGGCUCGCAUUGGAGGGCAAACACAGUUUGGUCUUUUAGCAGGUAUUCACUCAACGGUUUUGCUGCCAAAUGUUGCAGGAAUGCAAAAUUGUAUCAUUUUCAGCAUAGGCACUUCUUGGUGAAGUGAUGGUUACUCUCUGUACAUUGUAGAUGCUAAUCUACAUAGGCUUAUAAAUAUAGAAAGCCUAGGAUUCGUAUCUUUCCAUCAAUGUGAGUCCAAUGUCACAUGGUUUCAGAGCUCAGUAAAAAUUAAAGUUUUAUCUUUUUUUAUUUCGUUUAACACACAUGGCUGAUGGCGAGUCAUUGGAUAACAAGCAGGAGAAUGAUCCUUUCCUGGUACAUCCAUCAGAUAGUCCAACUGAUUUUGUAUGUUAUGAGAGUGCUAUUUGCAUUUUAUUGGAUAUAUUAUAUAUUGCUAUAGUUGAUUUAGAUAUAAAUCGUUUGUAAGAACUUGUGGAUGCAAUUCCAUUUUGCUGCUAUGCCCUCUGGCAAGUUUAUCUGAUUCUGAAUUUUGUAAAUUCAGCAUAUUUUUUAAAAUCUUUUACUAGGCUACAGGCAUUUCUAUAUUUUGAAUUAGAAAGGUUGAGCAAUUAGAACAAUUUUCCCGUCAACUAUGCACUUGAUUCUUUGUCUGCAGGUCUCCAGCGCAGCAUCACAGCAGAAGGAAGGAGUUCGCCGUCUAUGCUUGUUGGCACCUCUGCCCCCACGAAUCAGCCUGUCCGUAGCCCAGUGAAUCUACCACAGGGCACUGGAAUGAAUCCCAGAAAUAGUACUUCCUCCCCGGUAUCACAGUUUAGUGGAGCGCAACCACAGCUUGAGAAUCAAUAUAAACGUCUUCGGAGAGAAUCACCAACUAUCGUAGCCAAUACGCCACAAACACCAGCUUCUGAUAACCUGAAUAGGAGUUCUCUGGCUACACAGAACGGACCGGGUGUGGCUCACAUUGGAGGGCAACCACAGUUUUGUCUUUUAGCGGGUAAUCACUCUAGAGUCAGCAAAUAUCACUACCAAGUGUUGCAGGAAUGCAAAACCUUGUCAUUUUCAGCAUAGGGACUUCUUGGUGAAGUAAUGGCUACUCUCUGUACAUAGUAGAUGCUAAUUAACAUAGGCUUGUAAAUGUAGUGAGCCUAGGAUUCUUGUCUUUCCAUCAACGUGAGUCCAAUUUCACAUGGUUUCAGAGCUCAGUAAAAAUUAAAGUUUUAUCUUUUUUUAUUUUGUUUAGCAAACAUGGCUGAUGGCAAAUCAUCGGAUAACAAGCAGGAGAAUGAUCCUUUCCUGGUACAUCCAUCAGAUAGUCCAACAAUUGUUUUGGUUUCUCCUCCACUCACUGGUAAUAAGUAUGGUACGUGGGUAAGAACGAUGAUAAUGGCUUUGCAAGUGAGGAACAAACUCGGUUUUGUUGAUGGGACCAUUACGAAACCGGAUGAUGAUGAUGGUGGUAAAUGGCAACGUUGCAACGAUCUGGUUCGUUCUUGGGUGUUGAACUCGAUCUCAAGCGAACUUGCAUGUAGUGUCUUGUAUGCACAGUCAGCGAGAGAGUUGUGGCUGGAUUUGCAGGAACGUUUUCAGCAGACUAACGCGUCAAAAAUUUAUGAACUCAGACAAGCUAUCUCCUCUUUACGACAAGGUGAUGUAUCUGUCCACCAUUAUUACCGUAGAAUGAAAAGGCUUCGGGAAAAAUUAAUUUCAUUGCAACCUGUAGAACCAUGUGUUAGUGGGAAUGCAAAAGUUGUCAAUGAAUUACAGCGACGAGACUUUGGAAUGGAAUUCCUUCAGGGUCUGCAUGACAGAUAUGCGGCAGUGAGAAGUCGUAUUUUUUUGAUGGAUCCUUUUCCUAAGGCCCACGAGAUUUUCGCACUUGUAAAUGAAGAAGAAACACAACAAGCUCUUCAUGCAUUAGCAGGACCCUUGAAAGCAGGAGCUCUUGCUAUACAAAAUCGGUAGCCCCUGCAACACAAUUCCCUUGAAAAUUGAAAGGGUAGCGAUAUUUCAGCUGAGAGCAGAGGUUCAAAUCUGAAUGGUAGUUCUGGGAAUAAUCAAAGUAGACAGACGUGUGAACAUUGUGGGAAAUUCGGCAUACAAAAUUCAACUGUUUUGAUCUGAAUGGCUAUCCAACAAAUUGGAGGAAGUGCAGAUGAGGGAGUGAAGUCAAUCCUAAAACACCAGCCACUGUAGCCUGCAAAGAAGAACAGGAUCUUAUUUUCACUCAACAGCAGUAUCAAAUUCUCCUAGCCACAUUGUACUUUGGUAGUUUACAAUCUGUGAGUCUUGCAGGUAUAGCCCUUUAUUAUUAUUAUAUUUAUUUCCACACUGAUGUUACUGACCAUAUAUGUUGUUAGUUAGAUUUCUUUGAUUCCUAUUAACAAUGUCAUGUACCUCUUCGUGUUCAAUUGCCUGUGCUACAGUUUCCCUGUCACUCAUAUGGGGUCUCUUUUUUGCAAGAUUUUCUACUAAAGAGAUUUUUUACAUUCUGAGUUUUAAAUUCAAUUUACUGUCAGUUAGCCAUUUAACCAAAUCAAACAAAUAUCAAAUAAUCUUUUCUUCUGAUUCCUGUUAAUUUUAGGACCUGUACAUGAAGGUUGGCCAUGGUAGGCAUUGUGUUCCUGCAGCAUCCUCUUUUCAUUCCCAAAUAACCUCAACAUGAGAUUGAUCUUUGGCGUUGUUGCCGACUUGGGCACCCUUUUCUUGGACUUCUAAAAUUGUUUUCAGAGACUUAUCCUAUGGUUAAUUUGCGAUGCUUGUUGUAAAGCAAAACAAAUUAGAACGUCUAUUUUUCAUUGGCAGUAUUAAAACUCCUUUCGAAUUAGUCCGUUGUGAAGUUUGGGUUCCAUUUUCUAUCAUAUAAGUUCUUUAGUUGAAAUGUGUUAAAUGCUAAUUAACACAGGCUGCUUUACAAUGAUACAGCUUACCCUUAAAAAUAGCUGACUUAUUUGUGCCAAAAAAAAGGGGGAAAUGAUGUCUCGUCUCUGUAGGGAAAUUCAUGAAAAUUAAUUUGUAUUCAUGCAAUUGUGUUACCUCAAUGACCUUUCUUGCAAUAGAUGAUGCAUCAUGCAGUACUAAGUGAUAGAUUACGGUUGAAGUAUUUUUGUGUGUUCUUUUACGUAUGGUAAAUAUAUUUAACUUGUGAAAUUACUUAUUUAACUAUGAUCCCGGAUAGAAUUUUUCAGUGAUUUAUUUUUUGCAAUAUGAUACAGCUCUGUUUUACAACAUAAUCCAACAUGUCAUGAAUAUAUUUGUUAUCAAAUUAGUUAUUAAAUACGGUAAACAAACAAAUAAAUAAUCUACUAAAGUAGUAAUACUACAAAUCCAAAAACAUUAAUCAUAAAAUGAAUUUCAAAUGAAUUGCAUUAGAUUUGUGGUUGAAAAAUCAAUUUGAGAUUUUACCCACCUCAUAUCUCUUAAAAUAAAAUAAAUAAAACAAUACAAUAAAUUAUUUUGAAAACUGUUAAUCUAAUUGCAUCAUCUCACGGCUCACAUGUGAAAGUUAUUUAAAAGAGUACUGAACUUUGUAAAAGAGAAUAAAAAAUUAAUUAAAAUGCAAAGGGUUUGUCUUUUUCAUUAAAUAAUUUUCUGUCCUCUGUACUUUUUUUGCACAUUUUUCAUUUGGUGAACUUAGCAAAUUCAAUUGGAAAAAAAAAAAAUGUAGCAUUGCAUUUUAUGGGGAAUGGUGAUACUUGCGGGGGAAGAAGCAGAAAAUGAACUUUCCUUUCCAUUUCCUUCUGACAUAUAAUACGUUUGCCAUUUUUCAACUAGAGACUUAUUUCUUUGCAUCCACAUCAAGCCAGCUGCUUUGAACUUUGAGGUGAACAUUGACAGUUCCGGUAGGUUCUUUCUGCAACUGCUCAUUUUAGUUCAUUUUGCAUGUGCUCUAUACUUAAAACUUUAUUUUCAACUGGGUUUGUUUUAGUUUCUAAAAUGGAGAAUUGCACUGUUAAUAUUUCUGAGGAGCUGAGAGCUGCUGAGUCAAAGAAACAAGCUUUACGGAGAUCCUUUGAUAUUGCUCAUGAACAAGCUAGUUCAGUUCAUAAGUUUACUGUUAAAUGGAGAGAUUUAGAGGAACAUUUUGAUUUAAUUAGGAAAUCACUUGAAAAGCAAAGUAAUGAUGUUGAUAUGAAGAUUAGGUUGUUAGAUCAGCGCGCUAAGGAGAUUUAAAGUAAAGAGAUUGAGAGUGCGUUUGGUAUUAAGGUUGGACAGCUAUAACUUAAAAGUUGCAACAGUAAAGUGUUUGGUAAACACUAGCUGUUGUAGCUUAAAAGUUAUGUUGAUAUGAUUUUUCACUUGUAUAAUGAAGAAUCUAUUAUAUCAGUUGUAUAAUAAGUUUUGUCAAAAUUAUUAUUUAAAAUUUAUAUUUACUACAUAUAAUUAACUUUUAUUUCAUAGUUAUAGUUUUUUUUCUACAGCAGUUGUAACUUAAAAGCUACAGCACCUCAAUUCCAAACGCACCUUGGGUUAGUUUUGGUGGAGAAAAAGAUCGAAGAUUGUAACGGUGAGCUUUCAUGUAAGGAAAAGAAUUGGGUUUGGUUCAAAAGAUGGUGGGAGAAUGUGAUUGUGAGCUUCAUCAGUUGAAAGAGAGUGAACUGAAUUUGUUGUCAGUGAGUCUUGUUUUGAAGAGGGAAGAACUGAGUUUGGUUCAAAAGUCGAUUAAUAAAUGUCAGGUUGAUCAGAAAAAGUUGGAAUUGUUGAAGAAUAUGUUGAAAAAAUGUUAGUGAGGAAAUUGAGUUGAAGGCAAUGAAACUGGGGGAAGUCCAAAGAUCGGUUGAGGAACGUGAGAAACAGCUGGCAUUGAAGGAGAGCAAAAUUUCUUCGAUUCAGUCAAUGAUCGAAGAAUAUGAAGAAGAAAUUAAAGCUAAGGAGAAGUCGUGUGAUGAGGUUAAAAUGUCUCUCACACUUGAGUUUUGUCUCACACAGUGUGUGAGACAAAACUCAAGUGUGAGAAGAAAGAAUUGGAGUGGACUCAAUCAUCUAUCAAGGAGCUCUCGUAUAGUUUGAUUCAGAAGAGGAGAAGCUACAGUCAUUCCGGAGGAGGGUCAGAGAGCGGGUAAAUGAAGUUGAAUCUAAAGAGAGGGAGCUUGAUUCAAUGAAAAGGCAACAGAAGAAAUAUUUUGAUGAUAUUGGAAUGAAGGAGAUGGAGUACAAAGGACUAAGAAAAUAUGUUGAAGAUCUCAGUCAAGAACUCGCAUCAAAGGACAAGCAGUUGAAAUUUUUCAAAAAAUAAUGCAGCAAGGAGUUCUAGGUGAAAAAGGAGGAGUUAAGUUCAAUAAAAAAUGAAAUUGCGGAAUACUCGAAUGAGGUUGAAUUAAAGAGGAAUGAACUUAAUUUGAUACAGCAUGCGGCCAACAAGCUGCAAUUUGAUUUGAUUCAGACAAUGGACAUUGGGUACCUCGGAGAGCUCAAAGAGAAGGAGAAGCUUUUUGAUUCACUCAAAAAAGGUUUAGAAGACUGCUUUCAAGAUCUUGAAGUAAAAGAGAGACAGUUUGAGAAAUGUGUUAAGGAUUUUGAAAUAAUAGAGAGAGUUUGAUUCCAUCCGAAAAGCAGUCUAAAAUCGAGGUAAAAUCUGGAGUUGCAAGUCAAAACUGAGGAACCUGAAAAUUUGACAAGGGAAGGAAGAAAUCUGCAGCUGCUAUUAAAUGAGCAUUUGCAGAAGCAUGAUCUGAUUUUUGGUAAAAUUUUCAACACAAUUAAAAGAGCACGUGACCCUGCAUCUUUGGUUUUAGGUGCAAUGUCAGGAUUUUACCCUCCUCAUUCAAGGGAGAGAGAUGUAGAGUUUCAAGUGGGCAUUAUUAGGAGUAGUUGUAUUCUUCUGUUGGAACAGCUGUCAACUGUAGCACCAGAGAUUAAUGUUCAAGUUCGAGAUGAGGCUUUGAAGGUGGCAGGUGAUUGGAAGAAGAAGAUGAGAGUAGGAGUGAGAAUUCUUUGGAGGUGCUGGUAUUCUUGCAUUUUUUUAGCUGCCUAUAGAUUGGCAUCUGCUUUUGAUGGUAGUGAACUUGAAAGUCUUACUUCUUAUUGUUGCUCAGCCUAGAAAGACUCCUAAAUUAUGCCAAAGCCUUGGAUUUGCGGAUAAAGUAACUGGUAAGUUCUUUGUUAUUGGGUAUUUAAAUUUAUCAGGUGAUAUUUGUGCUCUCAGUUAUAUGAUAAAAUUGAAUUUUUUUGAGAGAUUCCUCUUCGCAUUUUGUUGGAUGUGUAAUAUCAUACUAUAGUUGAUGCAACUCUAUUUUGCUGCCAUGCCCUCCAGUACGUAUCCAUCUGAUUUCGAAGUUCAUACGUUCUGCAUUUUUCCUGAAAUCUUUCCUAGGCAUUUAUGUAUUUUGAUUUAAAAAGGUUGAGCAAUCAGAACAAUUUUCUAGUCCCACUAUGCGCAUGAUUCUUUGUCUGCAGGUCCCCAGCGCAGCACCGUGGUAGAGGGAAGUUCUUCACUGCCAAUGCUUGUUGGCAUCUCUGCCCACACUUAUCAGCCAGUCCCUAGCCCCAAGAAUCAACCUCAGUAUAGUGGAACAGAUCACAGUACUAGUACUUUUUACUCCCGAGUGCUACUAAAGCUCGAGAAUCAUGACAAUAAGCAUCCUCGGAGAGAAUCACCGACUUUCAGAGCCCGUACGCCACUAACACCAGCUUCUGUGGCUCGUAGUGGGGGGAAACACAGUUUGGUCCCUUAGCAGGUAAUCACUCAAGGGCCACGGCAAAUAUGGGUGCCGGCCCAAUCAAAUGUUGCUGUAAAGCAAAACCUUUACCAUUUUCCGCACAACACUUCUCUUGUGAUUACUUUGCAGACAAGGAUUAAGUGCUGAGUUGAGUUUUUAUUUAAUACUAAAUCAAUAAUCGAUAGAUAAUGAUAUAAGAAAAUAAAAACACAAAAUAAAUUAUUAUUAUUGAUUCAAUACUCAAUAAAAAUUAUAAACCCUAAUCCUUUCAUAAAUAGUGGUGUUAAAUUCUAACUAAUAUAUGCAUGCUAGUUUACAUUGUGUAUAUUUGAUUUCACUCCUCUUUUAUGAUAGCUUGUGAAAUUACAUAUUUAAUCAUCCUACUUCUACUCAUUUCUUUUUAUUUAAAAUAAAUAAAAUUCACUUAUUCAUAGAAGCCCUUACCAUACAUGACUAAGGCACGAGCCACUUUGUUGGUCUCUUUCAAGAAAUUAGUUUUUAUUACUUUAUUAACUUAUAAUUUUUCUUUUUGACCCCCAAGCACUAAUUUCGUUAGCGGCUACCGCUCCUCUUAGAUCAAAUUCACAAUUCACAUCCUUGAUUCUUUGAAAAGAAAAAUUGUGAUCAUGAUAAAAUAAAUGAUAAAAAUGAAUUUUCGCUUGUGAUUUUUAAGUGUUGGGCUUGGGGACUCGGGCUUUUGGUGUAUUCUUCUGAUUCGGCUACAUAAUAAGAAAAGUAAAAAAAUUAAUGUAACAUAUCGUUUUGUUUUUAAAUUUAUUUCGAAAUUAGCUUGGGAAGUAAAAUCAUUUGUGAGCUUUGUGAUUUGCCAUGUGUCCCAAAGCUUGGCGAUAUGUGAUUGGCUGCGUAAUUGAGAGUUAUCAUCAUCAGCCUCCCUAUACUUUUAUACUCUAUACGGACUGCCUAAUUUCUUGAAUUGAUCAUUCACGACCAUGAGCCCUUUUUACAAACUUUAAUUGAAAUCCGUCACCUUAUAAAAGAGUAAUGGUAGAUGAAUAAAAUCAUGAAAUAAUGAUGCGAGAUAUAUGGUGAUUGGUUCAAGUUCUCAGAGAGAUUCUCAUUUUUCUGACAGAUUUUUAUUUUUUUAAUUAAUUUUUUUUUAUAUAAGUUAGACAUAUCUUGCUGACUUGCUUGUAGAUGGGGGUGUAUAUUCCUCAAAUAUUUGCGUUAUAAUAGAAUUAAUAUAGGUAGAUAGUACACAUUUUAUUGUACAGUACGUAUUAUUAAUUUAAAAGAGAAUAACAACAUUUUUCGCCUUAUAGUCAAUUUUGAGCAACUUUUUUAAAAAAUAUAAAAUUGAUUUAAAAAUUUAUAAAAAGACAAAUAUUUGUAUCAUCUUUUUGUCACGCAUUUAUUUCUUAAUAUUUUUCAUAAAUUAAUAGGAAAAUAAGUCUCAUUAAGUAUUUUAAUCUCUAAAAUUCAUUUAGUAUAGCGGAUAAAUAAUUAUCUAACUAAAGAGUAACAUGUAAUCUUCAGAUUGCGAGUAAAUGUAGUUUUUUUUUUGUUUUUAUUAAUUAAUAAAAAAUAGCAUUGAAAUAAGUGUAAUUGAUUAUUCUAAUAGUACUUUAUAUAAAGAUAUUUCAUAAGAUCUUAUAAUAAUUAAUGUAUGACUUUAAUUGGAAAACUAUUAGUACUUAAAUAUUAAUGAUCAUAGAAGGCAUUGUGUAAUAAAUUAUUUGCUAUUUAUCGUUAAUGAUACCAUAUAUGUCGACGACAAAUGAGAAAUAUUUUAAUCAACAACUAUGAUUGAAAAAUAUAUAUGUGAAUAUAAUUAGAUGAUAGUUUGGAUAUAUAUUUUUAGGCUAAAACUAUUUUAACUAAAAUUUUUUACUCAAAUUUUUAAUACAAAAAUUAAAUUGUUGAUUUCAUAUAAUUCAAUGGUUGAUAAUUUAACAUGUUGCUUUAACUUGGGAAAUUAUCAUUGCACCACCUCCAUUUUUGGCUUAUGUUCAUCCAACCACCACAAAAUUCUAAUAUGUUCACUGCACUACCUUCCUUUUUAAAUUUGUAUCAAUUAACCACUUUUGCACUAACACCAUUAAAUAAUUUAAACGAAAUGAUAAUUUUACUCCUAAAUAAAUUAAAAGACAAUUUUAUCUUAUAAAAGCUUUCAAAAAUAAAAAAAAAAUUAUAAUUAUAAAAAUAUUUCAAAUUUUAAUUAAAAAUAAAUCCCAAAAUUAAAAUUUUUAUUUUAAUAAAAAUUAUUUUAAUAAAAAAAUAUAAUUAUAAAAAUAAUUGUAAAAUUUUUGGAUUUAAUAAAAAUCCCCUAAAUUAUUAAAAUUUUGGGAUUUAUUUUAAUAAAAUUUUGUGAAAUUAUAAUUUUUAAUAAAUAAAGUCAGUUAUUUUUAUUAACAUUUUGUAAAAUUAUAAUUUUUUUAAUAAAAAUACUUAUUAAAAUUUUACAAAAUCUAAAUUUAAUAAAAAUGAGCUGAGCAUCUCUAUUUGGGAUUUAUUUUUAAUUAAAAUUAGGGGUAUUUUUAUAAUUAUAUAUUUUUUAUUUUUCAAAACUUUUAUAAGAUAAAUGAUCUUUUAAUUUAUUUAGAGAUAAAAUUGUAAUUUCUUUUAAAUUAUUUAAAGGUAUUAGUACAAAAGUCGAUAAUUGAUAUAAAUUUAAAAAGAAAAGUAGUGCAGAGAACAUGUUAGAAUUUUAUGGUGGCUGAAUGAACAUAAGGCAAAAUUGAGGUGAUGCAAUGAUAAUUUUCCCUUUAACUUUCAAUAUGUAAUAUUAGAUUUUGAGAGAUUGAUGGCUCUUUGGUGUCAAAAUUUUAAGUUUCAAUAGUCCAAACUAUAUUUUAUAAUAAAAAUAAAAAUGAACGGAGAAAUUUUUUUUCUCAUUCAUUCCUAUAUUGUAUAUUAUUGGAUGUAAUUUCUUUUAGGGUUGAGCUAUUUGUAUUCUAAAAUAUAUUUUGGACACUCAUUUAGAACACUCAUUAACAAAUUUUAAAUAAUCAAAUUUUACUUUGAACACUCUUUCAAAUUCCAAAUUAGGCCUUCAACAAACUCAUUCCAUUGAGUACUUUUUCUCUUUACACCAACAAAUAUAAUCCAAAGAACCUAUAUAUAACGUGUUUGUUCCUUUCUUUUUCUAUUAUCGAUUUAUUCCCUAUUAAUUCUUGCUUAAUUUAUCAUGUUCUUAUCUUCAUAUGUGUGGAUAACUGAAACACUAGGAUUACUUUGUUUGCCAUAUUCAUGAAUGAGAGAAGAUCAACAAGAAAAACUGAAAUUCAGAAACCAAAUUUUGAUUGUGGCAAUUUAUUGCUCCUUGUGAUUUCUUAUGGUCUUCAAGCCAAAUCUUUUUCUCUUCCCCUCUCUCUUUUCUUCUUCUUCUUCUUCUUUGCUUUUUUUUUUUUUUCUAAGUAAUAUAUGCUUUCUCUUUGUUUUAAGAGAUACGAGGGUGUAAAAAUUAUAAAUAUUAUAUCAAACAUUAUCAGUCACCCACCAAAAAGUUGUCUUGUUGUAAAAAAUAUUAAAAUAAAAAUUUUCUUAGAGGUUUAUUAAUGCAAUUUAUGGCAUUUAUUUAAAUGUAAAUAUUUAAUUGUGUUAUUUUUUAGUGUUACACCAUAUAUAAAAUUUAUGAUUGCAAUAUAUUUAUUUGACUUGUGUUGGAUGGUAUAUUAGAUAUCGUAUCUUAUGUACUUAAAAGUAAUAGAUUUUGAAACAUUUAUGCCAAAAAAAAAAAAUUAACAACAUUGCAAAUUAAAAGGAGGGUUGAGAAGUAAUUUUUAAAUAAAACAUAUUAAUCAAGUGAAAUAAUUUUAAACUAUAAGAGUGGCUGUAUUUAUUUUACUGCUGUUAUUUUACAAAAACUAUCCACCUCCUUAAACAGUCAAGAAACGGUUUAAAAUAAAAUUGAAUAAUUUAUUUACAUAAUAUGAAAAAUAAAAAGAGUGAGAAAAAAAUUAAUGCAACAUAUCAUUUUGUUUUUAAAUUUAUUUUGAAAUUAGCUUGGGAAGUAAAAUCAAAUUUGAGCUUUGUGAUUAUGCCAUGUGUCCCAAGGAUCGGCAAUAGGUGAUUGGUGUGAAACUGAGAGCCGUCCUCAUUUAAAUGAUAUGUAUUUAGCCCUUUUAUACUUUGUAUCAUAUACAGACUUCUUAAUUUCUUUUAAUUGUCAUUCUAAUUUGAUCAUUCACGACCGUGAGCCCUUUUUACAAAUUCUAAUUGAAAUCCGUCACCUUAUAAAAGAGUGACAGUGGAUGAAUAAAAUCUGAACAAAUAAUGAUGUGAGAGUCGUGGUUCGAGUUCUUAGAGAGAUUCUUAUGUUUUUAAUUUAAAAAUUAGAUAAAAGUAAACAUUAUAAAAGUAGAUAUUUUUCAUUGAUUUGUUUGUAGAUAGCAUUAGAUAUUAAUAGAAUUAAUAAGAAAAAGAUUUGUGCUAUAAUAGAAUUAAUUUAGGUAGACAAUUGAUAUUUGAUUGUAUAAUACAUAUCAUUAAUUUAAAAAUGAAUGAUAACAACUUUGUCUUAGAGUUAAUUUUGAGGAAUUUCUUUAAAAAAAAUAUAAUUAAUUCAAAAAUUACAAAAAGACGUAUAUAUUUAUCUUUUUAUCAAAUUUUAUUUCUUUAUUUUUUUUUAUAAAUUAAUAGGAAAACAUGGUGCAUUAAAUAAUAAUAAUAGAACUAUGAAGUUGUAUGAAAUUUCACAUCAAUAUUGGGAUUGUUACGGACCCUUGGAUUUAAGUGUUUAAUAAGUAGUAUUCAUUUAAUAGGUGAAUAAAUAGUUAAUAAAUUUAAAAGUAGCAGGUAAUAUUUAGGUCCCGUGUAAAUAUAGGUUUUUAUAUUUAUUAGUUAAUAAAAAUGCAGUAAAAUAAAUAAAAUUAAUUAUUUUAAUAAUACUUUAUAUAAAGAUAUUCGAUAAGGUCUUAUAAUAAUUAAUGUAUGCCUUUAAUUGCAAUAUUAUGAAUAAUUAAACAUUAAUGAUCAUAGAAGGUAUUGUGUAAUAAAUUAUUUGCUAAAUAUGUUUAAUGAUACCAUAUAAGUUGAUUACAAAUGAAAAAUAUUUUAAUCAACAGUGUAACUAUGAUUGGAAAAUAAAUAUGCGUAGGUAAUUACAUGAUAGCUUGAAUAUAUAAUUUUAGGCUAAAGCUAUUUUAACUUAAAUUUUUUACUCAAAUUUUUAACACAAAAAUUAAACUAUUAAUUUCAUGUAAUUUAAUGGCGGAUAAUUUAAUAUUAUAAUAUUAUUUUAACUUUUAAUAUUAACUAUUAGAUUUUGAGAGAUUAAUGGGGUUCUUUUGUGUCAAAAUUUUAAUUUUUUUAACCCAAACCAUAUUUUAUUAUGAAAAUAAACAUGAACGGGGGAUCUUUUUUUCUCAUUCAUUCCCAUAUCAUAUACUAUUGGAUGUAAAUUAUUUUUUUUAGGGUUGUGCUAUUUAUUUUCUAAAAUAUAUUUUAGACACUUAUUUACUUUUAAUACUCAUUAACAAAAUCUAAACAAUCAAAUUUUACUUUGAACUCUUUCAAAUUGCAAAUUAGUCCUUCAACAGAGUUACUCCCUCAAUUACUUUGUUUCUUCCUACACCAACAAAAAUAAUCCAACAAACCUAUAUAUAAUGUGUUUGUUCUUUUCUUGUUCUAUUAUUGGUUUCUUCCUUAUUAGUUCUUGUUAAUUUUUCUUGUUCUUAUAUGUGUGGGCAACUGCAAUGUUAGAAUUAUUUUUAUUUGCCAUAUCCAUAAAUGAGAAAAGAUCAACAAGAAAAAUUGAAAUUUAGACAUCAAAUUUUGAUUGGUGCAAUUUAUUGCUCUUUGUGAUUUUUAUGGCCUUCAACUAGAUCUUUUUCUCUUCCUCUCUCUUUUCUUCUUCUUCUUGGCUUUUUUUUUUCAGUAAUAGUAUGCUUUUUGUUUAUUUUAAGACAUAAGAUAACAAUUGUAAAAAUUGUAAAUAUUAUAUGGGAAAUCGUCAGUCACAUGCCAAAAUUUAUCUUGUUAUCAAAAAUACUAAAAUAAAAUCUUACUUAGAAAUUUAUUGAUGCAAUUUAUGAAAUUCAUUUAAAUGCAUAUAUUUAAUUGUGUUGUUUAUUGGUGUUACACUACAUAUAAAUUUUACAAUUGCAACUUAUUUAUUUAAUUUGGGUUGGAUAACCUAUUAGAUAUCAUAUCUUAUGUACUUAACAGUAAUAGAUCUUUAAAUAUUUAUGUUAAAAAAUAAAAAAUAACAACAUUAUAAAUUUAAUAAAGGGUUACAAAGUAAUUUUUAAAUAAAAUAUGCUAUUCAAGUGAAAUAUUUCAAACUAUAAGAGUAGUUAUAAUUAAUUUACAAAAAAAAAGGGGCCUCAGUUAAGAAACGGUUUAAAAUAAAAUUGAAUAAUUUAUUUUUUUAAUAUAAAUAUUUUGUAUCAUUAAUCAUUUGCCAUGGUUAAAGCACUGACAUAAUAAUACGGCAAUUUUUCAACGGCCUUUCUUUGAGUCCACAUAAGAGAUAAUAAUACCAGCUGAUCGGAAGUGAACAUGGCCGGUUCCGGUUAGUUCUUCUGCAACCGCUUUAUUUUAGUUCAUUUUGCAAACGUUUUUCACUCGCACUUUAUACUUUCAACUGGGUUUUUUUUUUAAUUUCCAAAAUGGAGAACUGUACUGUUAAUAUUUCUGAGGAGUUGAGAGUUGCUGAGUCCAAAAAGGAAACUUUACGAAGAUCAUUUGAUAUUGCACAUUCACAAGCCAAUUCAGUGCUUUUGCUUACUGUUCAAUGGAAAGAUUUAGAGGAACAUUUUGAUAUAACUAAGAAAUUACUUGAAAAGCAAAGUAAUGAUGUUGAUGGGAAGAUUAGGUUGCUAGAUCAACGCGCUAAGGAGAUUGAAAGUAAAGAGAUUCAGUUAGUUUUGGUGCAGAAAAAGAUCGAAGAUUGUAAUGGUGAGCUUGUGUGUAAGGAAAAACAAUUGGGUUUGGUUAAAAAGAAGAUCGGAGAAUGUAAUUGUAAGCUUCAAUUGAAGAAGAAUGAACUGAAUUCGCUGUCGGAGAGUCUUAAUUUAAAGAAGGAAGAACUGAGCUCGGUUCAAGAGUGGAUUAAUAAAUGUCAGGCACAUCAGAAGGAGUUGCGAUUGCUGAGGAAUAUGAUUGAAGAAUGUUGUGAUGAAAUUGAGUUGAGAGAGAAGAAAGUGGGGGAAGUUCAAAGAUCAAUUGAGGAGCGUGAGAAACAGCUUGCAUUUAAGGAGAGCAAAAUUUCUUCAAUUCAGACUUUGAUUGAAGAAUAUGAAGAAGUACUUAAAGAAAAGGAGAAGUCGUAUGACGAGGUUAAAAAGUCUCUCAUACUGUGUGAGACCAAACUCGAAUGUAAAAAGAAAGAGUUGGAGCUGACUCAAUCAUCUAUUAAAGAGCUCUCGGUGAAGCUUCAUUCUGGAGAGGGGAAAUUAGAGUUACUCCAGGGGAAAGUCAGACUGCAUGAAAAUGAAGUUGAAUCUUUAGAGCAGAAGCUUGAUUCAAUGAGAAAGCAACAAAAGAAAUAUUUUGAUGAUGUUGAAUUGAAAAAGAGGGAGUUCAAUGAAAUAAGAAAAUACAUUGAAGAACUCAAUCAAGAUCUCGCAUCAAAGCAUAGGCAGUUAAAAUUUGUCCAACAAUCUAUUGAAGAAUGCAGCAAGGAGUUCCAGUGGAAAAAGGAGGAGUUAAUUUCAAUAGAAAAAACAAUUGCGGAAUGCUCAAAGGAGGUUGAAUUGAUAAAGAAUCAACUUAAUUUGAUACACAACGAGUCAAAUUUGGUUCAGACAAGGACAAUUGUGUGCCUGAAAGAACUCAAAGAUAAGGAGAAGCAUUUUGAUUCACUCAACAAAGGUUUAGAAGAUCGCUUGCAAGAUCUUGAAGUAAAAGAGAGGGAAUUUGAGAAACGAGUAAAGGAGUUUGAGUUAAGAGAGAAAGAGUUUGAUUCUAUCCAAAAAGCAGUAGAAGAUCGCAGUAAAAAUCUGUUGCUGCAAGUAAAAAUUGAGGAACCUGAAAAUUUGACAAGCAGAGGAAGAUAUCUGCAGUGUCUACUGAAUCAGCAUUUGCAGAAGCAUGAUUUGAUUUUUUGUAAAGUUUUCGACACUGUUAAAAGAGCCCGUGACCCUGCAUUGUUGGUGUUACAUGCCAUGUCGGGAUUUUACCCUCCUCAUUCAAGGGAGAGAGAUUUGGAGUUUGAUGUGAGCAUUAUUAGGAGGAGUUGUAUUCUUUUGUUGGAACAGUUAUCAACUAUAGCACCAGAGAUUAAUGCUCAAGUACGAGAUGAGGCUAUGAAGGUGGCAGGUGAGUGGAAGAAGAAGAUGAGAGUAGCAGUGGAGAAUUCUCUGGAGGUGCUGGGAUUCUUGCAUCUUUUAGCUGCCUAUAGAUUGGCACAUGCUUUUGAUGGUGAGGAACUUGAAAGUCUUCUUCGUAUUGUUGCUCAGCACAGACAGACUCCUAAAUUACGCCAAACCCUUGGAUUUGGAGAUAAAGUACCUGGUAGGCUCUUUGUUACUGGGAUUUAAAUUUAUCAGGUGCUAUCUGUGCUCUCAAUCACAUAAUAAAACUGAUUUUAUAUGUUAUGAGAGUGCUAUUCGCAUUUUAUUGAAUGUAUUCUAUAUUACUGUAGUUGAUCUAGAUACAAAUCGUUUGUAAGAACUUGUGGAUGCAAUUCCAUUUUGCUGCUAUGCCCUCUAGUAGGUUUAUUCUGAUUCUGAAGUUUGUAAAUUCAGCAUAUUUUUUAAAGUCUUUACUAGGCUAUAGGUGUUUCUACAUUUUGAAUUAGAAAGGUUGAGCAAUCAGAACAAUUUUCUAGUUAACUAUGCACUUGAUUCUUUGUCUGCAGGUCUCCAGUGCAGCAUCACGGCAGAAGGAAGGAGUUCAUCGUCUAUGCUUGUUGGCAACUCUGCCCCCACAAAUCAGCCGGUCCCUCGCCCAAUGAAUCUACCACAGUACACUGGAAUGAAUCCCAGUAAUAGUACGUCCUCCCCAGUAGCACAGUUUAAUGGAGUGCAACCACAGCUUCAGAAUCAAUAUAAACGUCUUCGGAGAGAAUCACCAGCCAUCAUAGCCUAUACGCCACAAACACCAGCUUCUGGUAACCUGAGUAGGAGUUCUCUGGCUACACUGUAUGGACCGGGUGUGGCUCGCAUUGGAGGGCAAACACAGUUUGGUCUUUUAGCAGGUAUUCACUCAACGGUUUUGCUGCCAAAUGUUGCAGGAAUGCAAAAUCGUAUCAUUUUCAGCUUAGGCACUUCUUGGUGAAGUGAUUGUUUCUCUGUACAUUGUAGAUGCUAAUCUACAUAGGCUUAUAAAUAUAGAAAGCCUAGGAUUCAUAUCUUUCCAUCAAUGUGAGUCCAAUUUCACAUGGUUUCAGAGCUCAGUAAAAACUAAAGUUUUAUCUUUUCUUAUUUUGUUUAGCAAACAUGGCUGAUGGUGAAUCAUCAGAUAACAAGCAGGAGAAUGAUCCUUUCCUGGUACAUCCAUCAGAUAGUCCAACGAUAGUUUUGGUUUCUCCUCUACUCACUGGUAAUAAUUAUGGUACGUGGGUAAGAGCGAUGACGAUGGCUUUGCGAGCAAGGAACAAGCUCGGGUUUGUUGAUGGGACCAUUACGAAACCAGAUAAUGAUGAUGGUGGUAAAUGGCAAAGUUGCAACGAUCUGGUUCGUUCUUGGGUGCUGAAUUCCAUCUCAAGCAAACUUGCAUGUAGUGUCUUGUAUGCACAGUCAGCGAGAGAGUUGUGGCUGCAUUUGCAGGAACGGUUUCAGCAGAAUGCAUCAAAAAUCUAUAAACUCAAACAAGCUAUCUCCUCAUUACGACAAGGUGAUGUAGCUGUCCACCUUUAUUAUCGUAUAAUGAAAAAGCUUUGGAGAAAAUUGAAUUCAUUGCAACAUCUAGAGCCAUGUGUUAGUGGGAAAGCAAAAGUUGUCAAUGAAUUACAGCAACAAGACUUUGGAAUGGAAUUCCUUCAGGGUUUGCAUGACAGAUAUGCGGCAAUCAGAAGUCGUAUUUUGUUGAUGGAUCCUUUUCCUAAGGCACAUAAGAUUUUGGCACUCAUUAAAAAAGAAGAAACACAACAAGAUCUUCAUGCAUUAGGGGGGCCUUCGAAAGCAGCAGCUCUUGCUAUACCAAAUCGCCAGCCCUUGCUACACAGUUCCCUUGAUAAUCGAAUGGGUAACGAUAUUUCAGCUGACAGCAGUGUGUCAAAUCUGAAUGGUAUUUCUGGGAAUGAUCAAAGAAGACAAACGUGUGAACACUGCGGGAAAUUGGGGCAUACAAAAUUCAACUGUUUUGAACUGAAUGGCUAUCCAACAAAUUGCAAUAAGCGCAGACGAGGGAGUAAAGGCAAUCCUAAAGCACCAGCCACUGUAGCCGGCAAAGAACAACAGGAUCUUAUUUUUGCUCAAUAGAAGUAUCAAAAGCCACAUUAUACUUAGGUAAUUUACAAUCUGCGAGUUUUGCAGGAAUAGCCCUUUAUUAUUAUUAUUAUUACUAUUAUUUUCCACACAGAUUUUACUGCUCAUAUAUGUUGUUCGUUAGAUUUCUUUGAUUCCUAUGAACCGUGUUAGGCACCUCUUCGGGUUCAAUGGCUUGAUGCUACUGUAUCCCUUGUCACUCAUGUUGAAACGGUCUCUUUUUUGCAAGAUUUUCUACUAAAGAAUGUUUCUAGCAUUCCGAGUUUUAAGCUCAAUUUACUGUCAGGUAGCCAAUUAACCAAAUCAAACAAAUAUCAAAUAAUCUUUUCUUCCGAUUCUUGUUAAUUUUAGGACCUGUAAAUGAAGGUUGGCAACGGUAGGCAUCGAGUUCCUGCAGCAUCCUCUUUUCAUUCCAAAUAACCUCAACAUGAGAUUGAUCUUUGGCCUUGCUGCAGACUGGGGUUGGGCACCCUUCUCUUGUGCGUUUAAAAUUGUUUUCAAAGACUCAUCCUAUGGUUAAUUUGUGAUAUUUGUCGCAAAGCAGAACAAAUUAAAAUGUCUAUUUUUCAUUCGCAGUAUUAAAACUCCUUUUAAAUUAAUCCAUUGUGAAGUUUGGGGUGCAUUUUCUAUCAUACUAGUUCUCUAGUUGCAGAUUUUUAUUUAUUUUUUAAUAAUUGUUGAUGAUUACACCUGCCGCUCUGAGUUGUAUUUAAUUAAAACAAAAUCUCUAACCAAAAUCCAUCUUUCUUUCUUUUUUAUGCUUUCAUUAAAACUCAACUUGAUUCUAACAUCAAAAUGGUGCGUUUUGAUAAUUAAUUGAGGUCAUAUUUGAUAUUAUGGUUGGAGAGUUUUAUUUUUUAAGUUAUAGCAUUAAAAUAUUUGAUAAACACUAACAAUUGUAGUUUGAAAGUUAAGUUAAUUUAAUAAAGAACUUGCAUAAUGAAAAAUUUAUAAUUUCUAAAUUUUUUUUCAAAAAUAUUAUUUUAAGAGUCAUAUUUAUUAAAUAUCAUUAAAUUUUAUUUUAUAAUUAUAAUUUUUAUUUACAACAGUUAUAAUUUAAAAAUUACACCGCUUUAAUAUUAAGUUGGACCUGAAUUCCUUAUCAAAGAUUUACAACAAUUUUUUUUCGUAAUUUUUUUAAUGAAGUUAAAUCGUCGUAUGAAAUGCUUUUUGAUGUGUCAUGUGACGAUCAGAUCAGUCAUGUUUAAAAGUUUUUGGUUGAAUAACAACAAAUGUCUUUUUAAUUACAUUACAAUCUAUUGGCAUCUAUUAUUAGAAGUCCAUUAGAAUCUAUAAGAUCAACUGGGUGUUGUAAUAAAAUCAACUCUCAAUUAUGAACAUAUUCAUUUAACUUAGCAGCCAAGGUGGAAGUGAUAUUGAUUAUAAAUUUUAAAUAAAAUCAAAUCAAAUCGAAUGAAAUAGAUAACAGAUCAUUUAACUUAGAACCAAUUAGUUUAGGAUAAAGAUUAAAGACUGGGCACGCAAUAUAAUUAUCCAAAAAUCAGGUAGCUCAAACAGGUAUGUGAAAAAAUUGAGAAGGAUAUUCACUGAUUCAUUUCUCUCUCAUCGAUUAUGGCAAAGCCGUGAAGGUUAUUUUUUUUUUUUUAAAAAAAAAUUGAAACAUAAUCAAAAUUUCCAAUCACUUGAUAAUAUUAACAAUAUCCCUCAUCAAAAUCAUGUUAUAAUUAUAUAUACACAUACACUUCAGGAAGUCGAAAAAGAUAAAAAUAUAUAGUCAAGCCGAAAAUAUACGACUCUAUUCUUGAUUUUUAUGAUAAGGUGAAGUAGUAAGUUGAAUAGUCAGCUGAUUAAGUCGAAUAAAAUCAAGCAGGCCAAGUAAGUAGUCGUGUUGUAGCAAGUUGAAUAAUUAAUCGAAAUAAAGCAUUUUUGUAUUUGUAUGAAGCUUUUGGGUAUAUAUAACAUACAAGUGAAAAUAAGAAAUCAUAUUGGCGCUUAUCCAGUGCAAUGAUUAGUAAUCAUUGCAAAAUUUUACUUCUAUUCUCCUUAAUUGUUGCAAAUAAAGCAAGGGGGUCUGUUGAAAAUCUGUCACCUUAUUAUUUAUGUCCAAAUAAAUUAUUGGGACCGCUGAUCUUUUUUGGGGAAGAUGUACAGUUUCAACAAAUGAUCACUCACAGAUGAUAUCAUAUAGCCAUUUUUCAGCAAGAAUCCGUAGCUUCCAUAUCACGUUCACUGUUUAAUUUGAAGUGAAAAUGGUUGGUUAGUUCUUCUCCAACGCCUCAUUUUAGUUCAUUUUGCAUGCUUUUCACUUACAUUUUCUUGUUUUUAAGUGGGUUUGUUUUAGUUUCUAUAAUGGAGAGCUCUGUUAAUAUAUGUGAGGAGUUUGAAUCAAAGAAAGCAGCUUCAAGUAGGAUGUUUGAUGAUUUACAUGCACAAGCCAAUUCAACACUUGUGUUCCCCGUUCAAUGGAAAGAUUUAGAGGAACACUUUGAUUUAACUAUGAGAUCACUUGAAAAGCAAAGUAAUGAUGUUGAUAUGGAGAUUAGGUUGCUAGACGAGCGUGCUAAGGAGAUUGAAAGUAAAGAGAGUGAGUGUUUUGGUGCAAGAAAUAUUGACGAAUGUAAUGGUGAACUUGCAUGUAAGGAAAAAGAAUUGGGUUUAAUCGAAAAAAAAUUGGAGAACGUAAUUGUGAGCUUCAAUUGAAAGAGAACGAGCUGAGUUCAUUUAAAAUUUUGCUUAAUUUGAAGAAUGAAGAACUGAGUUUAGUUUAACAGAAAUUGGAGAAAUGUUAUGUGGAACAGGAUUGGCUGGUCGCAUUGGGCGAUCUGAUUAAAGAUUGUUGUGAGAAAAUUGAGUUGAAAGCAAAGCAAUUGAGGGAAAGUGAGAAAGAGCAGGCAUUGAAGAUGGAAGUUUAAUCUUCAAUUCAAGAACUGAUUGUCGCUUACAUAAUGCAACUUGAAGACAAGCAGAAGUCAUACGAUGAUGUUAAUAGCUCUUGUCAUAGAAUGUGAGACAAAACUUGCAUGUAAAAAUAAAACUUUGAAGCUGACUCAAAAAUCUUUUGAAAACGUCUCGAUGGAAUUAGUAUCAUACCAGGACAUGGUUGCUCAGUGCAGAAGUGAACUUCACAAUGAAGAGAAGCAGCUGGAUUCAUUGAAAGCAAAGGUCAAUUUUGGAAUGCCCAGAGGAGAUUGAUUUAAAAAGGAGUCAAGAGUUGUCUGAGAAACAAAAAUACAUCGAAGAAUGCGUUCUGGAACUCGCAUUAAAGGAGAUGCAAUUAAAAUCUGUCCAAGAAUCAGUUAAGAAUGCAGCAAGGAGUUCCGGGUGAAAAAAUGGAGUUAAUUUCAAUCAAAAAGUCAAUUUUGGAAUACUCGGAGGAGGUUGAACUAAAAGAGAUGCAAAUUAGUUUGAAGCAAAAUUUUGCAUGGGAGCUUUCUAUGGAUUAUGAGUCAAGCAAACUGCAAUUUGAUCUGAUUGGAAGAAUGAGCUUUGGAUACCUCAAAGAUCUCAAAGAGAAGGAGAAGCAUUUUUAUUCAUUUAAAACAGGUUUAGAAGACUGCUUGCAAGAUCUUGAAGCAAAAGAGAGACCAUUUGGGAAAAGUGUCAAGGAGUUUGAAUUAGGAGAGAGAAAAUUUGAUUCUAUCCGAAAAGCAGUUGAAGAUCACGGUAAAAAUCUGGAGUUGAAAGAGAAAAAAUUGUCUAACAUUCUCCAGUUGCAACUAAAAUUUGAGGAAACUGAAAAUUCGACAGGCGACGGAUGAAAUCUGCAGUUGCUAUUGAGUAAGUACUUGCAGAAGCAUGAUUUUCUUUUUGGUGAAAUAUUUGACACACUAAAAAAGGCAAGGGACCAGCAUUGUUGGUGUUAGAUGCAAUAACUGUUAGGAAAUGAUUGGAUGAAACAAACACGCAACUAAAGUAAAAUUAAAAAAUAAUGAAACAAUAAAAUUGGACAUCAUAAAUUAUGUAGAAAAUACGUAAUUCGGCUUUUAAUUUACGUUUAUGGGCGAAGAUAGGAAAAAAAAAAAUUUUACUAGUAGAAUAAGAAUUACAAAUAUUAUAAUAUUUUGACUCACUUCCCAGAGUCUCAACACACCUAAUUUCUCAAAUCACUAUAAUAAGAGCUUCUAAUUUUAAGCUCUUUGAAUUUCUCUCACAACUCUCCACUCUCUUCACAAUAGGUAAAAUUUUGUUUGAAAAGUAAAAAAGGCGUCUCUAAUCUUCAAGCAAUACAGCUAUAAAUUUCAAGUUUUCAAAUUUUAAAUUUUUGAGCUUUUGAUUUGUUUUUUUCUUAUUCUUUUAUCAAACAUUCGGUGCCUACCCUUGACAUCUUUUCCUCUCAAUUUUCAGUGCAUUCAAAAAUUCAACUUGCUGCCACAUGCAUUUUGACAAUUGCUAGGCAUUGGUUGUCAAUUUGGUGAAGAGAUUUUAACAAUAUCAAGAUUUUACCUUUCUCAUUUCAAGAGAGCGAACUCUGGAGUUUAAUGUGGGCAUUAUUAGGAGUUGUAUUCUUUUGUUGGAGCGGUUAUCAAGUGUAGCACUGGGGAUUAAAACUGAUGUACGAGAUAAAGCUGUGAAACUGCGAAGGUAGCUGGUGAGUAGAAGAAGAAGAUGAGAGUAGCAGUUAGGGGUGGCAAUUUGUGGGCUUCGGCCGGGCUUUUUGAGGUCCAUGCCCAAGCCCACACUGUUCAAACAAAGUCCAAAUCCUUCAAAAUGCUCGGGCCGGGCCUAGAUGGGUCUGGGCUUAGGCUUGGGUUGGGCUUUUUAAAAUUAAUUAUAAAAUAUUAUUUUAAAAAAUAAAUAUUUAAAUUAAAGAAAAUUAUCUAAUACAUAAUAAAAUAAUAGUCCAAUGCAUAAAAUAUUAGUAAUACAACCUAAUAAAUAACAAAUACUAAUAUAAAAAAAUAAACUAAUUUAGUAUUUUGAGUUUUUUUUUUAAUUUCAAUUAAAUUUUUUUAUUUAUAAAUUAAAAAAACCUGGGCCAAAUUUGAACUUUUUUUCUAAGUCCUUAUCCAGACCCAACCUAUGCGGGCUUUACAUUUUUGAGAUAUCCAAGCCCAACUCUUGCGGGUCGGGCUUGGGCCAGACUGGGCCGGGCUGGGCUUGGACCGAACCGAGCUUUUUUUACCAUCCUUAGUACCAAUCGAGAUUAAUGCUCUAUGAAGCCUUAUGAAUUUUACAACAUUAAUAAUGGAAUUAUUGUAGACCCUUGGAUUUGAGUAUUUUAAUCUCUAUUAUUCAUUUAAUAUAGUGAAUAAAUAAUUAGCUAACUAAGAAGUAACACAUAAUCUUCAGAUUGCAUUGCAAAGUGAAUGUAGUUUUCUUUUUUUAUUAAUGAAUAAAAAUAGCAUUGAAAUAAGUGUAUUUAAUUAUUUUAAUAAUACUUUAUAUAAAGAUAUUUCAUAAUAUCUUAUAAUAAUUAAUGUAUGACUUCAAUCGCAAAACUAUUAACACUUAAACAUUAAUGACCGUAGAGGACAUUCUGUAAUAAAUUAUUUGCUGUCUAUCAUUAAUGAUAUUAUAUACAUGCAAUGAGAAAUAUUUUAAUCAACAACUAUGAUUGAAAAAUAUAUAUAUGCAUAAUUACAUGAGGAUUGAAUAUAUAUUUUUGGGCUAAAGCUAUCUUAAUUUAAAUUUUUUACGCAAAAUUUUAAUAUAAAAUUUAUACUAUAAUUUCAUACAAUUCGAUGGUAGAUGAUUUAGCAUCAUAAUGUUUCUUUGAGUUUUAAUAUUAACUAUUGGACUGUAAGAGAUUAACGGUUCUUUUGCGCCAAAAAUUUGGGUUACAACAACCCAAACCAUAUUUUAUAAUGAAAAUAAAAAUGAACGGAGAAUUUUUUUCUCAUUCAUUCCAAUGUCAUAUGUUAUUGAAUGUAAUAUUUUUUUCAGGGUUGGGCUAAUUGUACUCUAAAAUAUACUUUGGAGUUUGGAUACUUAUUUACUUUGACAACUCAUUAACAAAAUUUAAAUAAUCAAAUUUUAUUUUGAACACUCUUUUAAAUGCUAAAUUGGUCCUUCAACUAACUCUUUCCAUUAAUUACUUUGUUUCUUUUUACACCAACAAAAAUAAUCCAAUGAAACUAUGUAAAAUGUGUUUGUUCCUUUCUUUUUCUAUUAUCGAUUUCUUCUUUAUUUGUCUUGAUCUUAUCUUCAUAUGUGUGUGACUAAAAUAUUAGGAUUAUUUUAUUUACCAUAUUCAUGAAGCAGAGAAAAUCAACAAGAAAAACUGAAAUUCAAAAAUCAAAAUGUGAUUGGUGCAAUUUAUUGUUCCUAGUGAUUUGUUAUGGUCUUCAAGCCAAAUCUUUUUAUCUUCCUCUCUCUUUUCUUCCUCUUCUUUGUAUUUUUUUUUUCUUUUUUUUAAGUAAUAGUAUGCUUUCUGUCUAUUUUAAGAGAUACGAUAAUGGGUGUAAAAAUUAUAAAUAUUACAUAAGAAAUUAUUAAUCAACCACCAAAAAAUUAUCUUGUUAUAACAAAUAUUAAAUAAAAAUUUUCAUAAAAGUUUUGGAUACAAGUUAUGACAUUUAUUUAAAUGUACGUAAUUAAUUGUGUUAUUUUUUGGUGUUAUAGCAUGUAUAAAAUUUAAGAUUGUUACUUGUUUAUUUGAUUUAUGUUUGAUAAUCCAUUAGAUAUCAUAUCUUUAUGUAAUUAAUACUAAUAGAUUUUGAAACAUUUAUGUAAAAAAAACAAUUAACAACAUUACAAAAUAAUUUUUAAAUAAAACAUGUUAUUCAAGGGAAAUUAUUUUAAAAUAUAACAGGGGUUAUAGUCAUUUUACAAAAAUUAUACCUGCUUAAACAGUUAAGAAACGGUUUAAAAUAAAAUUGAAUAUUUUUUUUAAUAUAAAUAUUUUGUAUCAUUAAUUAAAUAUUUGUUACAUUGAUGCUGUAGUUGCACCGCAUGAUACAUUCACCUAAUAAAUAAUAACAAGACGUCAACAACGGCCUUCUGUUUAUGACUUUUUGUCAGUCAUCGGAGAAAAUAACAAUCGCCAUAAUUAAAACAUUGAUAUAAUGCCUUCCUUUGGGUCCACGCAGGACGUAAUAAACUCCAGCUGAUCUGAAGUGAACAUGGCCGGUUCCGGUUAGUUCUCCUGCAACUGCUUUCUUGUAGUUGCAAAUGCUUUUCGCUCGCACUUUAUAUUUUCAACUGGGUUUGUUUUAGUUUCCAAAAUGGACAACUGUACUGUUAAUAUUUCUGAGGAGUUGAGAGUUGCUGAGUCCAAAAAAGAAGCUUUACGAAGAUCUUUUGAUAUUGCCCGUUCACAAUCUAAUUCAGUGCCUGUGUUUACUGGUCAAUGGGAUGAUUUAGAGGAACAUCUUGAUUUAACUAAGAAAUCACUUGAAAAGCAAAGUAAUGAUGUUGAUGUGAAGAUUAGGCUGUUAGAUCAGCGCGCUAAGGAGAUUGAAAGUAAAGAGAUUGAGUUAGUUUUGGUGGGAAAAAAGAUUGAAGAUUGUAAUGGUGAGCUGGCGUGUAAGGAAAAAGAAUUGGGUUUGGUUCAAAAGAGGAUUGGAGAAUGUAAGCGUGAGCUUCAAUUGAAGGAGAAUGAACUGAAUUCGUUGUCGGGGAGUCUUAAUUUAAAGAAGGAAGAGCUCUGCUCAGUUCAGGGAUGGAUUAAUAAAUGUCAGGCUAAUCAGAAGGAGUUGCAAUUGCUGAAGAAUUUAAUUAAAGAAUGUUGUGAUGAAAUUGAGUUGAGAGAAAAGAAAGUGGGGGAAGUUCAAAGAUCGAUUGAGGAACAUGAGAAACAGCUUGCAUUUAAGGAGAGCAAAAUUUCUUCAAUGCGCACAUUGAUCGAAGAAUAUGAAGAAGUACUUAAAGAUAAGGAGAGGCCGUAUGACGAGGUUAAAAAGUCUCUAAUACUGUGUGAGACAAAACUCGAGUCUGAAAAGAAAGAAUUGGAGCUGACUCAAUCGUCUAUUAAAGAGCUCUGGAUGAAGUUUCAUUCGGAACAGGAGAAAUUAGAGUUACUCCAGGGGAGAGUCAGACUGCACGAAAAUGAAGUUGAAUCUUUAGAGCAGGAGCUUGAUUCAAUGAGAAAGCAACAGAAGAAAUAUUUUGAUGAUGUUGAAUUGAAAAAGAGGGAGCUCAACGAAAUAGGAAAAUACAUUGAAGAACUCAAUCAAGAUCCCGCAUCAAAGGACAAGGAGUUAAAAUUUGUCCAACAAUCUAUUAAAGAAUGCAGCAAGGAGUUCCAGUGGAAAAAGGAGGAGUCAAUUUCAACAGAAAAAACAAUUGCGGAAUGCUCAAAGGAGGUUGAAUUGAAAAAGAAUCAAUUUAAUUUGACACAGCAUGAGUCAAAUUUGUUUCAAACAAGGACCAUUGGGUAUCUGAAAGAGCUCAAAGAGAAGGAGAAGCAUUUUGAUUCACUCAAAAAAGGUUUAGAAGACCGCUUGCAAGAUCUUGAAAUAAAAGAGAGAGAAUUUGAGAAACGAGUAAAGGAAUUUGAGUUAAGAGAGAAAGAGUUCGGUUCUAUCAGAAAAGCAGUAGAAGAUUGCAGUAAAAAUCUGCUGCUGCAAGCAAAAACUGAGGACCCUGAAAAGUUGACAAGCAGCGGAAGAUAUCUGCAGUUUCUACUGAAUCAGCAUUUGCAGAAGCAUGAUUCAAUUUUUUGUAAAGUUUUCGACACUAUUAAAAGCGCCCGUGACCCUGCAUUGUUGGUGUUACAUGCCAUAUCAGGAUUUUACCCUCCUCAUUCAAGGGAGGGAGAUUUGGAGUUUGAUGUGAGCAUUAUUAGGCGGAGUUGUAUUCUUUUGUUGGAACAGUUAUCAACUGUAGCACCAGAGAUUAAUGCUCAAGUACGAGAUGAGGCUAUGAAGGUGGCAGGUGAGUGGAAGAAGAAGAUGAGAGUAGCAGUGGAGAAUUCUCUGGAGGUGCUGGGAUUCUUGCAUCUUUUAGCUGCCUAUAGAUUGGCACCUGCUUUUGAUGGUGAAGAACUUGAAAGUCUUCUUCGUAUUGUUGCUCAGCAUAGACAGACUCCUAAAUUACGCCAAACCCUUGGAUUUGCGGAUAAAGAACCCGGUAGGCUCUUUGUUACUGGGAUUUAAAUUUAUCAGGUGCUAUCUGUGCUCUCAAUUACAUAAUAAAACUGAUUUUAUAUUUUAUGAGAGUCCUAUUUGCAUUUUGUUGGAUAUGUUGUAUAUUACUAUAGUUGAUUUCGGUAUAAAUCGUUUGUAAGAACUUGUGGAUGCAAUUCCAUUUUGCUGCUAUGCCCUCUAGUAAGUUUUUCUAAUUUUGAAGUUCAUAAAUUCUGCAUACUUUCUAAAGUCUUUACUAGGCUAUAGGAUUUAUAUAUUUUGAAUUAGAAAGGCUGUGUAAUCAGAACAAUUUUUCCGUCAACUAUGCACUUGAUUCUCUGUCUGCAGGUCUCCAGUGCAGCACCACAGCAGAAGGAAGGAGUGCACCGUCAAUGCUUGUUGGCACCUCUGCCCCCACGAAUCAGCCAGACUCUAGCCUAAUGAAUCUACC
rnacentral:lncRNA from 1 species